rnacentral:misc_RNA from 1 species
AAAAGAAAUUGAAAGUCGGUUUUCGUCCUUCUUUCUCUUAACGCGCAUAACUUUUUUCUUUUAUUUUAUUUUUCAAACCCCUACAAAACAUACUUAAAUCGUUGGAGAAUUUAC